UAGAGUUUGAUCCUGGCUCAGGAUGAACGCUGGCGGCGUGCUUAACACAUGCAAGUCGAACGAUGAAGCCCAGCUUGCUGGGUGGAUUAGUGGCGAACGGGUGAGUAACACGUGAGCAACCUGCCCCUGACUCUGGGAUAAGCGCUGGAAACGGCGUCUAAUACUGGAUACGAACAAGAAUCGCAUGGUUACUUGUUGGAAAGAUUUUUCGGUUGGGGAUGGGCUCGCGGCCUAUCAGCUUGUUGGUGAGGUAAUGGCUCACCAAGGCGUCGACGGGUAGCCGGCCUGAGAGGGUGACCGGCCACACUGGGACUGAGACACGGCCCAGACUCCUACGGGAGGCAGCAGUGGGGAAUAUUGCACAAUGGGCGCAAGCCUGAUGCAGCAACGCCGCGUGAGGGAUGACGGCCUUCGGGUUGUAAACCUCUUUUAGCAGGGAAGAAGCGAGAGUGACGGUACCUGCAGAAAAAGCACCGGCUAACUACGUGCCAGCAGCCGCGGUAAUACGCAGGGUGCAAGCGUUAUCCGGAAUUAUUGGGCGUAAAGAGCUCGUAGGCGGUUUGUCGCGUCUGCUGUGAAAUCUGGGGGCUCAACCCCCAGCCUGCAGUGGGUACGGGCAGACUAGAGUGCGGUAGGGGAGAUUGGAAUUCCUGGUGUAGCGGUGGAAUGCGCAGAUAUCAGGAGGAACACCGAUGGCGAAGGCAGAUCUCUGGGCCGUAACUGACGCUGAGGAGCGAAAGGGUGGGGAGCAAACAGGCUUAGAUACCCUGGUAGUCCACCCCGUAAACGUUGGGAACUAGUUGUGGGGUCCAUUCCACGGAUUCCGUGACGCAGCUAACGCAUUAAGUUCCCCGCCUGGGGAGUACGGCCGCAAGGCUAAAACUCAAAGGAAUUGACGGGGACCCGCACAAGCGGCGGAGCAUGCGGAUUAAUUCGAUGCAAUGCGAAGAACCUUACCAAGGCUUGACAUAUACGAGAACGGGCCAGAAAUGGUCAACUCUUUGGACACUCGUAAACAGGUGGUGCAUGGUUGUCGUCAGCUCGUGUCGUGAGAUGUUGGGUUAAGUCCCGCAACGAGCGCAACCCUCGUUCUAUGUUGCCAGCACGUAAUGGUGGGAACUCAUGGGAUACUGCCGGGGUCAACUCGGAGGAAGGUGGGGAUGACGUCAAAUCAUCAUGCCCCUUAUGUCUUGGGCUUCACGCAUGCUACAAUGGCCGGUACAAUGGGCUGCAAUACCGUGAGGUGGAGCGAAUCCCAAAAAGCCGGUCCCAGUUCGGAUUGAGGUCUGCAACUCGACCUCAUGAAGUCGGAGUCGCUAGUAAUCGCAGAUCAGCAACGCUGCGGUGAAUACGUUCCCGGGUCUUGUACACACCGCCCGUCAAGUCAUGAAAGUCGGUAACACCUGAAGCCGGUGGCCUAACCCCUCGGGGAGGGAGCUGUCGAAGGUGGGAUCGGUAAUUAGGACUAAGUCGUAACAAGGUAACC
rnacentral:rRNA from 1 species